rnacentral:lncRNA from 9 species
CUGUAAUCAAUAUAAAAUUAUUCUCAGGAUAUUUGACAUUUUCAGACUGGGUCUUUGAAAUCUGCAUGUAACUUACAGCACCUCUGUAUUCCUGCCAGCCCCAGCUCAGGUAUUCAGCAUUAGCCCACAUGGGUCUAACAGCUGCCAUGCUGGGGAGAACAGCUGGAGAGUGUGGGCUUUUUGCCAGAGAUGACUCAGUGGAAGGCUCUGGAUAACUCAGGGGCCUGGGGCUGGAGGAAGGUCGAUGGAAAGAAUUCCAAGGUUGCCCAGUCCAGGCUGUGAUUAGGUCACAAAAGCACAGAAUGUGCUUGAAUAAAUGAAUACGGGGCUGUGCGCUCUGCCCUGGGAGGCUAUCCUCCCAUCACCCCAAGAAAGGUCAAGUGCCUUCACUGCGGCCGCAAAGUGGACACGGAACUGGAUGGAGUUCAAUGAAUUGAAUUGUUGGAUACCUGCUAUUUGGAGAGAGGGGAAGGAAGGAAGAAAAAAAGAAGGAAAGAAGGAGUUCCUGUCGUGGAUCAGGGGAAACAAAUUUGACUAGAAACCAUGAGGACGCAGGUUCAAUCCCUGGCCUUGCUCAGUCGGGUAAGGAUCUGGUGCUGCCGUGAGCUGUGGUGCAGGUAGGUCACAGAUGCAGCUUAGACCCCACGUUGCUGUGGCUAUAGUGUAGGCCAGUCGGCCGCUAUAGCUCCUAUUGGACCCCUAGCCUUGGAACCCCCAUUAUGGGGUGGGUGUUGCCCUAAAACGACAAAAAAAAAAAAAAAAAAAAAAGAAAAAAGAAAAAGAAAAAGAAAAAGAAAAAGAUGAAGAAAGGAAAGAAAGACAAUAUGCCAAUAUGCUCUCCUUCCUUAAGGAGCAGAUAGACUUAUAAGAGGUACACUAGUGAAACAAUCAAUAGCAAUAAGUGCCAACUUGAAUAAUGCUGUCACUUGGAAGAAGUUAUAAAAAAAAAGAGUGGAGUUCCUACCAUGGUACAGUGGGUUAAGAAUUUGACUGUACCAGCUUGGGUCACUGUGGAGUUGUGGAUUCAAUCCCUGGCCUGGUGCAGUGGGCUAAAGAAUCCCAGGUUGCCACAGCUGCUGCGUAGAUCACUGCUGUGCCUUGAACUCAGUCUCUGGCCUGGAACUUCCGUAUGCUACAGGUACAGCCAUAAAAUUUGUGUAAAAAAGAGAGAGAGUGAGUAACAGAAAUGUGAAGCUGGGGAUGCUUCAUUGAAGAGAUGAGUCUUGAGCUGGUCAUUGACAAACAGGUAGGACUUGGCUAGAACAAAAGGUAUGUGCAAGACUCUCUGGGCUUAGCAAAUAGUGCAAAGACAAAGAAUGGAUUUGGCGGGGGACACCAGGCCUGCAUGGGCGAGGGACAGCUCUGAUCCGGAUCAGCAUAUCCAGAGUUGCACAAAGACUUUUAAGAGAAGCAGUGAAAUUGAAUGUUAAAAGUGGCAUUUAUGCAAGAGUCCAUAGGGAUAUAAAUACAUGAUCAGAUACUUGAAUAAAUGUGGGAGAGGAGACAAAUCUUCCUUAUAUAAAUUCAAACACUGUAUGUCAAUAUUCCCACCUCCAGGAGAGGGGGGACCUUAAUCUACUCCUGUCCCUAGCCCAUGUGGGAGGGAGGAUGGAGCAUGGAAAGGGAAAAAUAGUAACCCAUGGAGCAAUGUGGCAAACACCAGCUUAAGCAAGUUGUUAAGGUUGCUACCACUGGUGACAUGGAUGUCACGUACUGCGUUAUAUUAGUCAGGAUUCUCCCAGGAAACAGAACCAAUAGGAUGCAUAUAUAGAGAGUGAUAAGAGGAGAUUUAUUACAAGAAUUACGUGCUUAUGUUUAUGGAGGCAAAGCUGUCUGCAUUCUGCAAGCUGGAGAAGUGGGAAAGCUGGGGGUGUAACUCAGUCUGAGUCUGAAGGCCUGAGAAUAGGGGGUGGGGUGGGGUGGGGAAGGGGCAGAUGGUGAAAGUCCCGGUCUGAUUCCAAAUCCUAGAGAACCAAGUGUGCUGGUGUCCAAGAGCCAGAGAAGAUGGAUGUCACAGCUCAAGCGAAACGUAAAUUCACCUUUCCUCUGCCUUGUUCUGUUUGAGCCCUCAGCAUACUGGGUGAUGCCUACUCACACUGGUGAGGACCAACUGCUUUGCUCACUGAUUCAAAUAUUAAUCUCUUCUGGAAAUACCCAGAAUAAAGUUUUACCAGCUUGAGUAUUGCUGAGCCAAGUCAAGGUGACACAUAAUGAAGUGUCAUAUCUGACAUGAUGUAGUAUGAUGUGAAGGACUGUUUAAAUCUAUGCUAUUCUUCUCAGAAUGCCUGUAACCUCAUGUCUAAUCAUAAAAAAAAAAAAAAUCAAUUCCCAAAUGAGGGACCUUCUGCAAAAAACCUAACCAGCACUCUUUAAGGCGUCAAGAUCAUGAAAAACAAGGAAAAUCUGAGAAGCCGUCACAGCUCUGAGGUGGCUGAGGGGACAGGAUGACUCACUGCAAUUCAAGGUCUUGGAACAUAGAAGAAAAACGUUGACGGGGAAACUGGAAGAUUCCAAACAAAAUCUCGAGUUUAGUUAAUAAUAAUGUAUCAAUGCUGGUUUCUUAGUUUUGACAAAUAUAUUAAAGAAAGAUGGUAGCACUAGGGGAAAUUAAAACUGUGAGGAGUGUGUAGAAACUCUCUGUAUUACCUUUACAACCCUUCUGCACAUCUAAUGCAAUUUCCUUCUUUUCUUUCUUUCUUUUUUUUUUCUUUUUUUUUUGCUUUUUAGGGCCAUACCCUCGGCAUAUGGAGGAUUGGAGGCUUCCCAGGUUAGGGGUCCAACUGGAGCUAUAGCUGCUGGCCUAUGCCACAGCCACAACAAUGCAGGAUCUGAGCCAAGUCUGCAAUUAUUUCAAAACAAAAAAAUUUUAUUAAGAAAAACAGGACAGUGGAGUUCCUGUGUGGCUGAGUGUUUGAGGUAUCCAUUGGUCAAGUAAACACAGACCAACAUGGUGCAAUUGUUCAGAACCCAUAUGCUUGAUCAAAUCCUGACUCUGCCACUCACUAGCUAUGUGGCCCUGGGCAAAUACUACCUAGCCCCUCUGUAUCUCAGUUUCCUUAUAAAUAAAAUAGGGGUAAUAAUAAUAAGUGUACUUUUCUCCUAGGCUAUUGUGAGGAUUAAAUCAGUUGAUACAUGUAAAGAGCUUAGGAUAAAGCCUGGUAAAUAGUGUGAAAAUAUUAGUUAUUGUCACUAAAACUAAUAUUAGUUAUCAAUAUUAGCUAAUACUAGUUAUAGCUAAUAUUAGCUGUUAUCACUAAAAGUCACUCGGGUCUUUAAAUGAAUUUGCCUUUUGCUUACAGCAAUGUCUGCACAUGUGCAUGAGACAUAACUAUUUACUCAGUCUGUAAGAAAUACGGUUCAAGGAUUUGGACAUUUGAGGGAAGGACCAAGUUUACAUAUGGAUUUUCAAGUCCUUUGUAGUAAAUUUUCACCUCAGCCCACUCCUGUCGCAGGGCUUGUCCCCACAGCAGCAUAGUGACCUCAUGGGGAUUAGGGAGUAACUAUCCCAGACAAGGGACAUUGAUACUCUGGUUUAGAUGUUAGGGAGGCAAGGACUGCAGAGAGGAUGGGUCUCAGUGGAGAGGAGAAUGAUGGUGGCAUUUGCCCAUAGUGGCCUCCAAAGCCAUACUUGGCAAAUAGAGCCCUGAGGACUCUCAGCAAACUAACACACAGGGAAAGGAAGAUGAAGACUCCAGGAUGAAGAUUUUUUAACUAAGAGGGAGGAUAUGGCCACACAAGUCAGACAUUUCAUCCCACCUUGAAAUGAACCGAGAUCCACAAAGAAACUCUCUUAAAAAAAAAAAAAAACCCAGACUUGCACAUGUAUAAACACAAUCUGCCACUUCCCACCCCUAAAACUUACCUUUCAAAAUCUGCAUUAAAGAUCUAAAUACCUUUCCCUCCUUCUGGGAAGAUCGAAGAGAAUGUGAGCUCAGAGGUGGUUGCCCAAGUCCAAUUCCUGGUACUACCACAUCCUGUGUGACCUGGGGCAAGUUUCUCAGCCUCUCUGUGCCUCUGUUUUCUCCUCGGAAAAUUUGGGCAAAUAAUAAUACUUUCCUCCUAGGGUUGUUUUGAUCAUACAUUGAUACAAAAAGUGAAGAGACCUUGGAAGGCUACCUGGCAGAAUAAACUUAGGAUAAAGGUUAGCUAGUAUGAGUGUGACUCUUCCUGCAACCAUAAGGUGGCUUAAGCCACUUCCUCUGCCACAAACUCAUCUGCUGUCUUAGAGAGGAUGGGGCAGCCAGGGGGAAAUCUAAGACAUAGUCAUUGUUUUUUUUCUAGAGAGGUACAGAUUUCUGGAGAACUUGUUCAAACUAUUUUAUUGGACUGUGAUAUACAUAUAUGUAUAUAAAUGUAUGUAUGUGUAUGUAUGUAUAUGUAGGUAUAUGUAAGAUUCUCCUGCCCCUCCACAUCACACACUAUGUGGCAAAUUCAAGUUUAUGAAAAGGACCAGAUCAAUUACACAGUGUCACAGGUUGAAUUGUGUCCCCCUCAAUUCAUAUGUUGAAGUCUUAACCAUCAAUACCUCAAAGUGUGAUCUUAGGAGUUCCUGCUGUGGUGCAACAGGAUCAAUGGUGUCUCUGCGGCAUCAUGGACAUGGGUUCAAUCCCUGUCCUGGCACAGUGGGUUAAGGAUCUGGGCUGAGGCAUAGGUUGCAGCAGCGGCUCAGAGUCAGUCCCUGGCUCAGGAACUUCCAUAUGCAGAGGGGAGGACAAAAAAAAAAAAAAAAAAGAAAAAAAGUGACUUGAUUUUGAAUGGUCAUUACAGAUAUAAUUAGUUCCUUUAAGAUGGAGUCACACUGGAGUAAGUAGGCCGCUAAUAUGACUGGUGUUUGUAAGGCGUGUGUGGAGAAAAAAGAGAAUGAGCUUAGUAUUCAGGCAAAGAGAAGAAAAUUUAUUAAAGGGAAAGGAGAGGGUGACUAACCCUUGAGAAAAUCCAGCCCCCUGGCCCUCUGGUGGGUCCUUCGUAUACCCCGUGGAUGGGAAAUUGGAUUCCCUGAAGCGGGGGAGGUUAGUUUUUCUUUUGCCUGCAGCUGGACUCUGGUGGUCAUGUAGUCGUGAGAAAGUUGGAGGUGUCUCAUGGUAGGGUGGUCUCAUAAUCUUGAGAAAGCCAGUAGGGUGGUCUUGGGAAAGUCGGCACCAGCGACGGAAACAGGAUGUCACUUGAGCAAGGUGGUCAGUCUCAUGGGUCACUGUGCCUUCAUAUU